rnacentral:snoRNA from 1 species
UGCAAUGCGAGGUACCUGCAUCCAACAGUGUAGUUCUGAUGGGAUGGUCUGAAAACAGUGUUAAAGUAAUUCAGCAUUGGCAUCAUUGGCUUUCAUGCUGCUGUGCCUGUGCUUGAAGUGCGAAAAAAUU